CCACUCCAACAAUGAUGGCAGCUGUUUCCAUGGCUACUUCACUAACGUUCGCAUUACUUCCUUCCCAAGCCAAGUUUGAGCUGAAGCCGCCUCCAUAUCCGCUGAAUGCUUUGGAACCCCAUAUGAGCCAAGCUACCCCCGGAGUAUCAUUGGGGAAAACACCAUAAAACCUAUGUGGAGAACC